rnacentral:rRNA from 1 species
CCCCUUAGAUGUUCUGGGCCGCACGCGUGCUACACUGAGUGGAUCAGCGGGUCAGGUUGCGCGAAAGCGUUUCCUAAUCUUUAAAUCCGCUCGUGAUGGGGAUUGACGGUUGCAAUUUUCUGUCAUGAACGAGGAAUACCUUGUAAGCGCGGGUCAUCAUCCCGCGCUGAAUACGUCCCUGCCCUUUGUACACACCGCCCGUCGCUCCUACCGAUUGAGUGGUCCGGUGAGGCUUUGGGACUCGAGCGGAAAAAGCGUUUCGCUUGUUCUGCUUGGGAAACUCAGUCGAACCUUAUCAUUUAGAGGAAGGAGAAGUCGUAACA